rnacentral:rRNA from 1 species
AGCGAACGCUGGCGGCAGGCCUAACACAUGCAAGUCGAACGAAGCCUUCGGGCUUAGUGGCGGACGGGUGAGUAACACGUGGGAACGUACCUUUUGGUUCGGAAUAACGCAGAGAAAUUUGCGCUAAUACCGGAUGAGCCCUUCGGGGGAAAGAUUUAUCGCCGAAAGAUCGGCCCGCGUUGGAUUAGGUAGUUGGUGUGGUAAAGGCGCACCAAGCCUACGAUCCAUAGCUGGUCUGAGAGGAUGAUCAGCCACACUGGGACUGAGACACGGCCCAGACUCCUACGGGAGGCAGCAGUGGGGAAUCUUGCGCAAUGGGCGAAAGCCUGACGCAGCCAUGCCGCGUGAAUGAUGGAGGUCUUAGGAUUGUAAAAUUCUUUUACCAGGGACGAUAAUGACGGUACCUGGAGAAAAAGCCCCGGCUAACUUCGUGCCAGCCGCCGCCGUAAAAC